UCCUUGUGGCGUUCGAUGGCGAGUUUCUUUCUGCGCUUCUGCCGUCUCUUUUCUUUUUCCUGACUGGCUUUCAGGGCUUUCUCUUGCAGCGUGUCUUUCAGCGGCAGUUUGAUCUGCGCAGUGUCUGGCUGCUGCAUCAUGUGACCCUUCGCAAACCGCUUCACUUUCUCUAGCCAGCUGUUCUUUUUCGGCCCUACGAAAAAAUCGCGGCCGCUCUCGCCUUCGACUGGAACCUCCUCAAAGAAGUCUUCCUCGCCGUCUUCUCUGUCCACGUCCUUCGCCUCGCUCUCGCUCGUGCGGCCGGUGUCGCCUGACGCCGCUUGCCCGUCGGCCUCGCCCUUCCCUUUCUGGCUCCUAAAGCCAGAGAGAAGCGAUUCCAAGGCGUCCUCGUUCCCUUCUGCAAACGGAUCUUCUUCAACAACAACAUCCGCGAACUCAUCCACGCUGGCGUUCACGGAGGUGUCUUCCGCUUCCCUCUCGUGCCCGCCGUCAAGCUCGGCUGUCGCCUGCUCGCCGAUCCCCGCAACUUCCUCCGCGGCAGCAAACGUCAGCGAGAAAAACGGCUCCACUCCACUAUCUUGCGCUCUCGCUUGCAAACGCGUUUGCUGGGAAGAGGAAAAGACCGAGAUAUCCCGCGCACUUACAACCCGGUGGAAAAGCUUCAAAGAAAGCCCAUUCAUUCGCCUUCGGGUUCUUCCCUGAAAGUUCUGGCCAGAAGGUUCCCGAGCCUGUAGGUGCCGCCCCGUCUCUCCAUAAAAGAUCUCAAGACCAGGCAGAACCCGAAAGGAAAGGCACCCAGAAACCAACGCCUUCGAAUGGACUUGAACAGACAUCUACCUUUGUGUCCGUGCAGAUGCCCACGUAUAUAUAUAUAUAUAUACGCAAGACAGUCGUAUAUGCAUAAAGCAUGCAUAUGCAUAAAUGCGUACGUUUACAAUGAAUAUAUGUGAAUUAAGCAGGCAGGUAUAAUAAUUGCGGGUCUGUCUCUAUUCACGGUUUACGCGCCCCCGUUUGGAGGCCGAACCCGGGCCGGAGACGCGCCAAGCACGAUUCGAGGGAGGGGGCUCGAGGAGAAUCAGACCCUGGGUUCAAAAAGAGUUUAGAUGCAUGCAGACUGCACAAAGAGGUAGAAAUAAUUCUCGACGGAUUGUGCAUUUACUGGGGAAGAAAACGUGCGCCCGUCUCGGCGUUACUUGAAUCUCCGGAAACGGCGCGGUUUGCCGCGCUCCCGGAGCGCCCGGUAGUGCCCUGUGCACCCGUGCAGAGAGCCUGCGCUUACGCAUG
rnacentral:lncRNA from 1 species